rnacentral:rRNA from 1 species
AGAGCGAACGCUGGCGGCAGGCUUAACACAUGCAAGUCGAGCGGGCGUAGCAAUACGUCAGCGGCAGACGGGUGAGUAACGCGUGGGAACAUACCUUUUGGUUCGGAACAACACAGGGAAACUUGUGCUAAUACCGGAUAAGCCCUUACGGGGAAAGAUUUAUCGCCGAAAGAUUGGCCCGCGUCUGAUUAGCUAGUUGGUGAGGUAAUGGCUCACCAAGGCGACGAUCAGUAGCUGGUCUGAGAGGAUGAUCAGCCACAUUGGGACUGAGACACGGCCCAAACUCCUACGGGAGGCAGCAGUGGGGAAUAUUGGACAAAUGGGCGCGAAGCCUGAUCCAGCCAUGCCGCGUGAGUGAUGAAGGCCCUAGGGUUGUAAAGCUCUUUUGUGCGGGAAGAGUAAUGACGGUACCGCAAGAAUAAGCCCGGCUAACUUCGUGCCAGCAGCCGC